UAAUACGGAGGGGGCUAGCGUUAUUCGGAAUUACUGGGCGUAAAGCGCACGCAGGCUGCGUGAAUAGUUAGAGGUGAAAGCCCUGGGCUCAACCCAGGAAUUGCCUUUAAUACUUUCAUGCUAGAAUACGGGAGAGGGUAGUGGAAUUCCAAGUGUAGAGGUGAAAUUCGUAGAUAUUUGGAAGAACACCAGUGGCGAAGGCGGCUACCUGGACCGAUAUUGACGCUGAGGUGCGAAAGCGUGGGGAGCGAACAGGAUUAGAUACCCUGGUAGUCCACGCCGUAAACGAUGAGUGCUAGUUGUCGGGUGUUUGGCAUUCGGUGACGCAGCUAACGCGUUAAGCACUCCGCCUGGGGAGUACGGCCGCAAGGUUA
rnacentral:rRNA from 1 species